GCUCCAUGCUCUCUCCGGGCGUUUCCUCCCUAGACUUACGGGCGCCUCUCGGUGCCUUUAUUCCGCCACAA
rnacentral:sRNA from 2 species